UAGGGAAUUUUCGUCAAUGGGGGCAACCCUGAACGAGCAAUGCCGCGUGGGCGAAGAAGGUCUUCGGAUUGUAAAGCUCUGUUGCCGGGGAAAAAGGAAGGAAAGAGGAAAUGCUUUUCUUUGGAUGGUACCCGGCCAGAAAGUCACGGCUAACUACGUGCC
rnacentral:rRNA from 1 species